UACGUAGGAGGCGAGCGUUGUCCGGAGUUACUGGGCGUAAAGGGUGCGCAGGCGGCGGUUCGCGUGGGUAGAUGAAAUCUCCUGGCUUACCUGGGAGGAUGGUAUCCAGACGGGAUCGCUUGAGGGUCGGAGAGGGGCGUGGAAUUCCGGGUGGAGUGGUGAAAUGCGUAGAUAUCCGGAGGAACACCAAAGGCGUAGGCAGUGUCCUGGAUUGUAUCUGACGCUCAGGUGCGAAAGCUAGGGGAGCGAACGGG
rnacentral:rRNA from 1 species